GGUGUUUGAACUCUGUUAUUCCCAUUUUGCAGAUCUGCAAACCGAGGCAGAAAUGAUCAAUGACUUGCCCAAGGUCACAGAAGGUCAGUAUCAAGAUAAGAAGUUGGAAGCAGGACUGCUAGCUGGAGACUUUGCAGACUGAUAAACACAAGCCUUUGAAGCAAAGUGAAAGAUUCGGGGCUGGAAUAGCUCCCCACACUUCACAGCAAGGAAUGCCCAGGAGCACCAUGAUCAUCUCUUCUGUGUCCCUGAAUAUCAUUUCCCUCAGCAACACAGGGCAGCAACAUCUGAAUGGUGUGUGUGAUGGCUUACUCCAUUAUCCUGCAAAGAGAGCCCAAUGAAAGGCAUUGGAGAGGUGAACA
rnacentral:lncRNA from 1 species